rnacentral:lncRNA from 1 species
UUCAAUAGAUGAGACGCAAUUAGACAAUCAGCGAGGCUUGGGACAAUUCAAGUAUGAUCAGGUAAGUCAUUAGUUGGUGGAAUAUGCUUGGUGAGGCAUCCUUAUAAAGCAGGGGGGAUGGAUGACAUGUCCUACCUCUUUUUAGUUAUUUAUAUCCUACUUAAGAGGUGGAGGAUAAUGGGCCGAAAUAACUGAUACUU